rnacentral:tRNA from 1 species
GGGCGUGUAGCUCAACUGGCAGAGCAAGCGGCUCUUAACCGCUAGGUUCAGGGUUCGAUUCCCUGCACGCUCA